CCGGGCGUAGCGCAGCGGUUGGCGCAGCGCGUAGACAACGCGUUCACGCCGGUUCGAAUCCGGCCCCCGCGA
rnacentral:tRNA from 1 species